rnacentral:rRNA from 1 species
AGUGAACGCUGGCGGUAGGCCUAACACAUGCAAGUCGAACGGCAGCACAGUAAGAGCUUGCUCUUACGGGUGGCGAGUGGCGGACGGGUGAGGAAUACAUCGGAAUCUACUUUUUCGUGGGGGAUAACGUAGGGAAACUUACGCUAAUACCGCAUACGACCUACGGGUGAAAGCAGGGGAUCUUCGUACCUUGCGCGAUUGAUUGAGCCGAUGUCGGAUUAGCUAGUUGGCGGGGUAAAGGCCCACCAAGGCGACGAUCCGUAGCUGGUCUGAGAGGAUGAUCAGCUACACUGGAACUGAGACACGGUCCAGACUCCUACGGGAGGCAGCAGUGGGGAAUAUUGGACAAUGGGCGCAAGCCUGAUCCAGCCAUACCGCGUGGGUGAAGAAGGCCUUCGGGUUGUAAAGCCCUUUUGUUGGGAAAGAAAAGCAGCAGGUUAAUACGCCGCUGUUCUGACGGUACCCAAAGAAUAAGCACCGGCUAACUUCGUG